GAGAAAACACGUAUGGGGUGCCUAUUAACUGAAAGGCAUCUCCAGUCUCACAAACAGAGGCAAGGCAAAAGGCCUUGGAGGAUACGGCCAUGAGAGCUUCGGCUGAAAGAACAAACCUGGGUUCAAUUGGAAAUCAGUUGAUGCACUGGAGCGCUGACUACAACGUGCCAGAUAGAAAGCCAGCUUGUCUUUGGACCUGCACUAGAAGAACGUGAUUUCCAACUACCCCGGGAAAUGCUGUAACAGCUGUAAAAGGAAAAGCCUCGCCUAAAACCAAAGCCAUUUGGAGGAAUGGGAAGCCUGUUUUGUUUUUUAUCUAAAUAAAGAAAAAUGUGUUUUAAACUAAAAUAUCGUU
rnacentral:lncRNA from 1 species